CCUACGGGAGGCAGCAGUGGGGAAUAUUGGACAAUGGGCGAAAGCCUGAUCCAGCCAUGCCGCGUGUGUGAAGAAGGCCUUCGGGUUGUAAAGCACUUUCAGUGGGGAAGAAAGCCUUGGGGCUAAUACCCUCGAGGAAGGACAUCACCCACAGAAGAAGCACCGGCUAACUCCGUGCCAGCAGCCGCGGGAAUACGGAGGGGGCGAGCGUUAAUCGGAAUUACUGGGCGUAAAGCGCGCGUAGGCGGUCUGAUAAGCCGGUUGUGAAAGCCCCGGGCUCAACCUGGGAACGGCAUCCGGAACUGUCAGGCUAGAGUGCAGGAGAGGAAGGUAGAAUUCCCGGUGUAGCGGUGAAAUGCGUAGAGAUCGGGAGGAAUACCAGUGGCGAAGGCGGCCUUCUGGACUGACACUGACGCUGAGGUGCGAAAGCGUGGGUAGCAAACAGGAUUAGAUACCCCUGUAGUC
rnacentral:rRNA from 1 species